rnacentral:rRNA from 1 species
GGAAUUACUGGGCGUAAAGCGCACGUAGGCGGUACAUCAAGUCAGGGGUGAAAGCCCGGGGCUCAACUCGGGAACUGCCCUUGAAACUGUGUGCUAGAAUCUUGGAGAGGCGGGUGGAAUUCCGAGUGUAGAGGUGAAAUUCGUAGAUAUUCGGAAGAACACCAGUGGCGAAGGCGGCCCGCUGGACAAGUAUUGACGCUGAGGUGCGAAAGCAUGGGGAGCAAACAGGAUUAA